ensembl:lncRNA
CAGUCACUCAUUGAUCAAAACCAUCUGGGUCAUGGCCAUCAGCCAACACCAGUUCUACCUGAACAGAAAACAGAGCAAAGUAAGUCACUACACACCAUUGUUGAGGUCUAAUCAAGCAGAUUGCUCACAUAUAUCUAUACAAGUGCAGUAGAUAUGGAUUGAUAAGACUCAAAGCCAAAGAGUUACAUCAGGCAUUACACCAUUCCAGAGUUAUGAAACAUUUCCUGUUCUUAAUAAUAGUCACUCUACACCCACUGUCUUGUGGCAGAGCAGAGGACUGUGUGUGUUUGUGUUCCACAAAUAUUCAUGCUUUCAGGUUGUAUCUUUUUUCAUCUAGAACAAAAAUUAGGAAUUGUAAAAAAUGAACACUUCUGUAACCCACAGAAAAGAAGGAUCACAAAUGAGUUUUUAACCCUGUAAAGCCUGACAUACAUACAUAUUUUUUUUUAAAUGGAACAGUAUAUUGAAUUUUUUUUAAAUAUAAUCUAUAAUAAAAAAAUAUUUAUGAAUAAUCAAGUAGACCAAAGCUGCUUCAGUCUAGUAAAUGAUCAUAUUGAAAUUUGACUAACAAUAUAAAAGUUACCUUGCGUUUACUUUAUAAAGGAUUUAAACACGUGAAGAAAAAGACAUGUAAACCAUGACCUGAAGAGUGACACUUUCUGAUGAUACUAAGCAUAAAAGGCAUGUAGGAGAUUGUGUACAGCAGGUUUUUCUACAAGUUUUGAUGAUUCUGAUCAUUUAGAGACCUAUGUAGUAGACUUUAUAGGGUUAAUUUAAUAUCUUGUAUCCUAUUUUUAUCAAUUAACAGGCAAAAAUCACCACUGCCAGAAGUUUAGGAGACAUCGCGACUGACCUGACAGAGAACGGAGCAUCAAAGAUGAACAAACUGAGUGCAGGGGUGAAAAAUCAGCUCAUCAUGGCCAGUAACGGGAGUCUGGUUUCAACAGGUUCGGCUGACUCUGAAAUGAAUGACGACCAGAAAAAAGAGAAACUUGCGGAGCUGAGAAAGAAAGAGAGAGAGAUCCAGGAUAUGCUAAGCCAAAAACUGACAGAGCUGAAAGAAAUAUGCCUGCGGGAGGCUGUAAGAGCAAACAACAGUUGUUUUUUAAUAUUUUUUUGUAUUUUUGACUGUGUUGUGAUCACACUAUAAAACAUCCAGUCUAAUAAAUAACCAAAUAGUACAUAUACA